AUACAACACAUUCACACAAACUGCGUACCAUCUAUCGCAUAAACAUUUACACACACCCUUCUCCCCUUCUCUGAUGAACCCUAAACCGCGUACCAUCUAUCGCCAGCGACGACAUCAACCCUACACCGCCGCCAUCGAUCCAUCACCACAAUCGGAUCGGGCUUCAACAAAAUGGUAAAUAUCAAACCUUUAUUCAAAGGAGAAACGGUUGAUGCUGAUCAAUGAGGAUGGAUACUACGUGAGCUUUGAUCCUCGGCCUCAUUUUGUUACAAAAAAUGGGAUUGACUUCUUGGAAUGUAGAGCUUCUGAAAUAGCAGCAUGAGUGACCAUUUAUGUGGUUGGACCAACUGAAAUUACCAUUUCUCUUUCAUCAUGUACAAAAGACUGCAAGAGAUGAGAACAUGAUCUCCUGCCUGCAAUCUAUUGAAAGAAACAGUUGACAGAAGGAUAAAAAAAAGAGUGAUUAAAUGAACGACGACUUACUCACCCCUGGUUCAAAGUUAGAUAGUCUUUAUAAAUAAGAUGUAUUUAAAGCUUGACAAUAGCACACGAGUGUACAGUUGAAGACAAAUGGUUAUCUUAGAGUCCUAAAAUGACUUUCUUGAUCUUAGAAUUUAGGAUAAAAUCUCACAUUAUGAUGGAGUACUUAUUGGCUUUGUAGAGAGUUCAUACAAAGAAAAAUUAUGUAUAUAAACAUGCCGUGUAUAUUUUCUCUUAGUCAGUUCAUUUCUAAACAUCCCGUGUCAAAGGUACUACGUAUAGUAGAUUUCCAAUUAAAUAUGAAGCCCAUGUAAACCAUUCUCUUUUGGUGGCCAGUUGGGGUUAAUUGACAUGCGAUUUCCAAUACAUGUUACAAUUUAAUGUAAAAUUCCUGAGGAUCUGUGUUGUUACCGAAGUUUUGUUAUUCUGAUGGGUCCCCUAAUGGAUGAAGACAUGAAGUGCACCAAACAACUCAAAUCGUGGUAUAUCAGGUAUUGCAGUGGAUGGAUUGGAAAUAGGCAAUUUGAUAUUCUAUAUUGUCUAUACUCCUCUUUCCACAUUGACAUAAAGCUCUUGCAUGUAAGUCACCUGUGUUUUCUAUGUAUAAUUGUAUAUCGUUCAUCAAAUGUGUCUUGGUAGCUCUUUUGUUUUACAUAAUGAUUUUUUAACCAUGCAUUACCACACCUUGGAAUUUUUGUUACAUAUCCCAAGUAUUUGCAUAUUUAAUAAAAUUUUGAUUAAGGGUAUAUAAACAAAUGGCUAGGAUGAAUCCCUUUUUCUUCUAUGCAGAUAUGGCAUGAAAACAUACCCAUAUAAUAAAAUAGUUGAAAGGAAAAGUCACCAACGAUGGUUGAAAAGAGAUGGCUCGUAGUUCACUGGUGGCGGCACUAUGUUUCGAGAUGGAGCCACACAAUAUAUUACGAAACUCAAGUAAUACAUCCCUAUUACCGGUAGGGUCUCGAGGACAACUCUUGAUAUGGGAUGCGAGUUAUGAAACACAUUCGUGUUUUGUAAGAUAUUGAUAAUAUCACCUAUAAGUAUUAUUGGUAUAAGUAUUUUGGUAUUAAUGUUUGGUUUAACUAUAUAAUGUUGAGAUUUAAAAAAAUGUUUAUUUAUACAAUAAACUUUGUGAUGUCCA